UUUUCAGAAAUGAACCACUGCUGAACUCUUGACAGUAUUCAGAAAGUAUCAUCUUGAUGUGAGGCAGAACGCAGGAAAAUAGAGGGGAGCUGGCACCACCGGUUUUUUCAUAUCCUUAACUUGGAUUUGAUAAUCAUUUUGGGGUGAGAGACAUAAGGGCAAGGUAAGGUCAUAUGCUUUUCUUUGCUCUCCCCCAAGAUCAUUGUUAGGUUGUGGGACCAACGUGUUAGAAUUUUCUCCACAAUUUAAGGGAAAGCCCUUGUUAAUUCUCCCCAAAGUUGGGUUGACAAAGGGAAAUGGAGGUGUUUUUUAACACACUUAGAAGAAAAGAGGAUUGAGCUUUCUUUAAAAACCUAACAAGAAGCAAAGGAGUUCAAAAUCCUGUGAAGAUGUGAUGCUUAGUGCUAAAAUAAAGCAUGGCGAACCUUGACACCACUGGUAGCUGAGAGAAACCUUGUAGUGAACAGAGCGUGCUACUGGGGGUGCUUGUUUUCUGUGCUUACUGGACACCUGAGUGUGGAGAACACAUGGCAGAUGGAGGCGCUCUUGGACAGAACGUGGAAUAGGCAGAUAGGAACAGGUGACACAAGAAGCCCUAACAAACAGGAACAGCACUUCCCUGAGACUUGACUCUGAGUGACUUCUGGAAGGGAAGCACUAACACAGCACUCCCAGUUGCUCCCUGAUGUCCCCGUGAGCAGUGCUCACAUGAUAUAGGGUUCGCAUAACGGAAGAAGGUAUGAAGCGAGAAGGGGCAUCCACAAAACCGCCCCAAAGAGGAGAGUGGAGAGAGGGUGCAGGAAGUGGUAUCACGUUCUACUCUGGAGUAACAAGGAAGACUAAGAUGCUCUUUCUUUCCCUACUGUUCCCAGGUGUAGACAAAGGGCAACCUGGGGAUAGGGUUUGUUUGUGAAGGGUUGUGACUGUUGUUGGAGAUAGUUGCAAGGUCUUUGCUGUUCUUUUGGUUUUCUGUUUUCGGUUAGUGGUUCUGGGGAGCCUUUUGGCCAAUGGGCUUUCUAAGGUUCCCUUCUCUGGCUCCCUUGUCUCUCUAUAUUGCUGCCUGUCUGUCCUCUUCUCCCAACCCCCAUUUCUUUCAGCUAGAUAUUCCUGGGUUGGGAGUUUGUUUCUAGAAAAUCAAAGGGUCUAGGGCAGGGGCCAUGAAAAAUCACUGUGGGCACUGCUGUUCGGUAUUGGCUCUAUUGAAAGGAGAGCUCAAAGGGGGUCUGAACAAGCUUUCUGUCUAGACCCCACUGCCCAAUAGAAACAUAAUGUGAGCCACAUAUAUAAUUCUAUCUUUUCUCAGUUUAUUGAAAGUAAACAAGUGAAAUUAAUUUCAACAAUAAUUUUAUUCAGCCCAAUAGAAUCCAAUAUAUGUUUUUUAUAUUAGCAUAUAAUCCAUUUAAAAAUUACUGAGA